rnacentral:rRNA from 1 species
UACGGGGGGAGCAAGCGUUGUUCGGAUUUACUGGGCGUAAAGGGCGCGUAGGCGGUCAGCACAAGUCAGUUGUGAAAUCUCCGGGCUUAACUCGGAAAGGUCAACUGAUACUGUGCGACUAGAGUGCGGAAGGGGCAACUGGAAUUCUCGGUGUAGCGGUGAAAUGCGUAGAUAUCGAGAGGAACACCGGUGGCGAAGGCGGCGAUCUGGACGAUGACUGACGCUGAGACGCGAAAGCGUGGGGAGCAAACAGG